rnacentral:sRNA from 1 species
AUCGCUUCUCGGCCUUUUGGCUAAGAUCAAGUGUGGAAAUCUCCUUAUCUUAGAUUAUCUAGUUUAUUAGACAUAUUUCUACUUUUC